GCGAGUGCGUCCCCACCAGCCUGGCCGCCGCGGCAACUCGGGGACCGGGAGGGCGGGGGUUAGCGGGAGGAAAGGGUAAGCUGAAGAGGGGCUGGGAACGGGAGGGAGGCUCGGGGCGAACGGGCCGUCGCGUUCAUUUCCAUAAGAAAGCUGAAAUCGCAGUUGGAAGCAGGAUUUCUCGCCCCUGCAGCCCAUCCCCCAUACCCGGUUUUCUGCAAGAAGCGGGCUCCGGAGCUCAGAGCCCGAAGUGUAUGCCCUGGUCUUUGAUGAUGUUGAUAAAAUGAGGUUUCAAAUGUUGUCCCGAAGAGGCCGGUAUGUGGAAUGGAAGGACCGUGCCGGGGCACCAAGAGGCACCCUGAGAACUCAGAGGACCCAGAGGCUCCCCUCAAGCAAAUUCCCUGCUGACCCUGGAAACCCCUUGAAGGAGGGGACAAGAGGUUGCCA
rnacentral:antisense_RNA from 1 species